rnacentral:lncRNA from 1 species
ACCAGGAGGAUGACUUGCUGGUUCGUGAUGGGACUCACCUCUGCUAAUGCAAGGGCUGACUGCCAUAAUCACCUCGUAUGUGGACAUUUAUGACAUCCCAAGACUCAUAAUUUCCCUUGAGAAGUUCCAAGUUUAGUAGAUGGAAAAGAUGUUGCCUGCUCCAGCAGUGUCUUCCGAUGAAGGUCCAGGGCUGCAUCCCAAACACCCCCACCGACAGCUCAGCCAACAGGACGGAUCACGACUGAAACAGAUGUUCUUGCUCCCCCGGCCAAAAAGUUGGAGUCCCUCCCUGGAGAUGAGACACUUCCCUUUGACACCAGAAGCACCUUCCUGAUUUCAUCAGAUGAGAUACUUGUUUGGGGAAUGACCCCAAUGUCUUGCCUUAAGCAAACAAAUAAAAUGUUUGAAUUUAGUGAGGGCAUGAACCCGAUAUGUAAAAUGUAGAGUUAGGAAAAUUAUAUUGUAUAGAAAAUAGCACAUUAUUUCCCUGGUGAGCCAGCAACCUCCCAAAAUAAUUGUGUAAAACAGAGGAUAAAAAGAGCUCAGCAAGAAACCCUUAUGUCCUCGAGAAGGCAACCAAAUUGGAGAAUGAGGUUUAGUAUACGGUAUUUCUCAACAAGAACUGUAAAACUGAAUUAAAACCUGAAAGCAAUGAUAAAACUCUUACUAAAAUAUGUAGUCCAUGCAUUUCUUCUGUGUGAUUCUUCCGUGCGAUUCUUUAGAACUGAA